AUUGAACGCUGGCGGCAGGCCUAACACAUGCAAGUCGAGCGGGGUUUUCGGACCUAGCGGCGGACGGGUGAGUAAUGCGUAGGAGGCUACCCGAUAGAGGGGGAUACCAGUUGGAAACGACUGUUAAUACCGCAUAAUGUCUACGGACCAAAGUGUGGGACCUUCGGGCCACAUGCUAUCGGAUGCGCCUACGUGGGAUUAGCUAGUUGGUGAGGUAAUGGCUCACCAAGGCGACGAUCCCUAGCUGGUUUGAGAGGAUGAUCAGCCACACUGGAGCUGAGACACGGUCCAGACUCCUACGGGAGGCAGCAGUGGGGAAUAUUGGACAAUGGGCGCAAGCCUAAUCCAGCCAUGCCGCGUGUGUGAAGAAGGCCUUCGGGUUGUAAAGCACUUUCAGUAGGGAGGAAGCGUUGUGUGUUAAUAGUACACAGCGUUGACGUUACCUACAGAAGAAGCACCGGCUAACUCUGUGCCAGCCGCCGCCGUAACAC
rnacentral:rRNA from 1 species